GUUAUUUUAUAAUAAUUGCAACCUAAAUAUAGAUUAAUUAAAUAGUUCUUAACUUGUUUCACUGUUAUAUAUGAGAUUAUUUCAUUGUUUAUGAUGUAAUAGCUUUUGAAAUAUCGAAGGAAGAAGACAUUACGACAUGAACUAGCUCUUUUUAGAUGAGUUAAAAUUACCACUCGUAUAAUUAAUUCCUUCUCUUUAUCCACUCGGAUCCUUGUUUUUGACUACCUGGCAUCUUCCGCUUGUAUUUUUGUCAGGUCUUUCACUUGCAUCUUAUUACCACUACUACUGUGUCUUUUCAUGUUGUCUUUGAAAGCUGAUCAAUUAUUAGAAAGCUAUACAGUAUAUAAUCUGCUGAAUUUGUCAUAGAUGGAUAACAAGGACUUGGUCGUAAUUCUCCAUCCGACAUACUUUUCAAAUGUUUGUGUUCGAGUUUACGAGUCUGUUGUGAGCCUAUAUGUUUCACUACCAAGUGAGAAUUCAUGAAGGCACUCUUCUGAUGCAACUCAUUUGAAAUUCCUAUUGUAGUAUCAAUAUAGUCGUAGGCUCGAUUUGUUUCAUGAAAAACG
rnacentral:lncRNA from 1 species